UGUGAGGAAAAAGAAAAGAGCUUUUGUAAAUUCAUUGCUGAAAAGAAACUCCAAACUGUGACAUCUUGGAUUAGUGGCUGGAAGGAGAGAGGGAAGAGAUCUGCAAGACUGACAAAAGCCUUCACAUAGGUUGUGAUAUUCACUCAUGUGAAGCUAAAAGCAGGGGUAGAGAUGCUGCCUGUUUGCCCAGUGAAAGAAGGAAGAUAUGUACGUCUCGGAGAUUUCCACCCAGUGCUGUGGGUGUACUGUGUACAGCACCCGCUCAGCCUCACGCCGCGCAGCCUGCCCGCUGCACCCAUGAAGACUGAGAAGACUGAAGAGUUGGGACAAAAAUUCCUAUCGGAUAAGAACUGCUGGCAGCACUCAUGGGAGGACCUUGAGCCAGAAGCACAAAGAGAAAGAAAAUCCAUUUGCUGCUCAGAAAAGCUGAUAAAAGAAAAUCAAAUGCUAGGAGUAGACAUUGCAUGAUUGAAGCAGAUGCUCCUGGCAGCCCAGAGUUCAGAGAUGAAAGGAGAAGGUUUGGCUGGUAUUUUGGCUGCUUAGAGGAGGAUCACAAAACUACGAAACCUGGAUUCUGACCAUAGUUCCAUUCUGCAAUAAAAUAAAAGAGGAAGUUCAUAGGGUUUUUAAGGCAGAUGCAGAGCAGAGAAGGCUGGGAAGAAGCAGCCCCUCAGGCGGAAUGCCAAUGGGAAUUUGCAGUGUGAGAGGAGACCUAAGAAACUCCAGGCAGAAAACCACCUGAGACAAGU